rnacentral:rRNA from 1 species
CCUACGGUGGCAGCAGUGGGGAAUAUUGGACAAUGGGCGAAAGCCUGAUCCAGCCAUGCCGCGUGUGUGAAGAAGGCCUUCGGGUUGUAAAGCACUUUCAGUGGGGAAGAAAGCCUUGGGGCUAAUACCCUCGAGGAAGGACAUCACCCACAGAAGAAGCACCUGCUAACUCCGUGCCAGCAGCCGCGGUAAUACGGAGGGUGCGAGCGUUAAUCGGAAUUACUGGGCGUAAAGCGCGCGUAGGCGGUCUGAUAAGCCGGUUGUGAAAGCCCCGGGCUCAACCUGGGAACGGCAUCCGGAACUGUCAGGCUAGAGUGCAGGAGAGGAAGGUAGAAUUCCCGGUGUAGCGGUGAAAUGCGUAGAGAUCGGGAGGAAUACCAGUGGCGAAGGCGGCCUUCUGGAUUGACACUGACGCUGAGGUGCGAAAGCGUGGGUAGCAAACAGGAUUAGAUACCCCAGUAGUC